UUUUUUUUGGUUUUUACUAUAUAGGCUGAGUGCAAGAUAUAAAUAUAAAUU
rnacentral:sRNA from 1 species